GCGCGAGUGGCGGAAUUGGCAGACGCGCUGGAUUGAGGUUCCAGUGUCCUCGGACGUGGGGGUUCAGCGGCGCGGUGGCGCCGCCGCGGCGGACGAUCAACGCGACGCGUUGAUCCCCAGCCCGCCGCGCUCCUCGCGCA
rnacentral:tRNA from 1 species